CGAGAUGCUUAAUAUGGAUGUUCUUGAAAAAAAAUUGCUUACUAAUGAUGUUCUGGCAAACUGUAAUACAUGAACCGAUUAAAAUUGCUUAAUUACAUUCCCCAAAAAGACCAAUGUAUGAGUAUCAUAAAACGCAUUAGAGAAAAAAACUAUAUUGCCCAGGAGAUUGUUCACACUACAAACGAGACAACAUAUAUGUAUGUAUUAACACAUAUGGAAAACAAUUCAGAAUUGCUAGAUAUCUGAAUCGGUCAGGAUUGUAGUAGUUAGGUUGUUAUUAACAGUUGCUGUGAUAUUACCUAAUACAAUAUAUGCUGGAAUAUGGAACGCCAACACUGUCUUGUUAUGCCC
rnacentral:lncRNA from 1 species